rfam:Ornithorhynchus anatinus chromosome X1, whole genome shotgun sequence.
AGCAACGUGGCUCAGUGGAAAGAGCAUGGGCUUGGAAGUCAGAGGUCAUGGGUUUGAAUCCCAGCUCUGCCA